rnacentral:rRNA from 1 species
UUAAGUUAAUAAGGGCGCACGGUGGAUGCCUUGGCACUAGAAGCCGAUGAAGGACGUGACUAACAACGAAAUGCUUUGGGGAGCUGUAAGUGAGCAAUGAUCCAGAGAUGUCCGAAUGGGGGAACCCGGCAGGUAAUGCCUGUCACUCAUUACUGUUAAGGUAAUGUAGAGGAAGACGCAGUGAACUGAAACAUCUAAGUAGCUGCAGGAAGAGAAAGCAAAAGCGAUUGCCUUAGUAGCGGCGAGCGAAACGGCAAGAGGGCAAACCGAAGAGUUUACUCUUCGGGGUUGUAGGACUGCAACGUGGACUUAAAGAUUAUAGAAGAACUACCUGGGAAGGUAGGCCAAAGAGAGUAAUAGCCUCGUAUUCGAAAUAGUCUUUAUACCUAGCAGUAUCCUGAGUACGGCGAGACACGAGAAAUCUCGUCGGAAUCUGGGAGGACCAUCUCCCAACCCUAAAUACUCUCUAGUGACCGAUAGUGAACCAGUACCGUGAGGGAAAGGUGAAAAGCACCCCGGGAGGGGAGUGAAAUAGAACCUGAAACCGUGUGCCUACAACAAGUUCGAGCCCGUUAAUGGGUGAGAGCGUGCCUUUUGUAGAAUGAACCGGCGAGUUACGAUAUGAUGCGAGGUUAAGUUGAAGAGACGGAGCCGUAGGGAAACCGAGUCUUAAUAGGGCGCAUUAGUAUCAUGUCGUAGACCCGAAACCAUGUGACCUACCCAUGAGCAGGUUGAAGGUGAGGUAAAACUCACUGGAGGACCGAACCAGGGCACGUUGAAAAGUGCUUGGAUGACUUGUGGGUAGCGGAGAAAUUCCAAACGAACUUGGAGAUAGCUGGUUCUCUCCGAAAUAGCUUUAGGGCUAGCGUCGAUGUUAAGUCUCUUGGAGGUAGAGCACUGUUUGGGUGAGGGGUCCAUCCCGGAUUACCAAUCUCAGAUAAACUCCGAAUGCCAAUGAGAUAUAAUCGGCAGUCAGACUGCGAGUGCUAAGAUCCGUAGUCGAAAGGGAAACAGCCCAGACCACCAGCUAAGGUCCCAAAAUAUAUGUUAAGUGGAAAAGGAUGUGGGGUUGCACAGACAACUAGGAUGUUAGCUUAGAAGCAGCUAUUCAUUCAAAGAGUGCGUAAUAGCUCACUAGUCGAGUGACCCUGCGCCGAAAAUGUACCGGGGCUAAAACAUAUUACCGAAGCUGUGGAUACCUUUAUAGGUAUGGUAGGAGAGCGUUCUAUGUGCGAAGAAGGUGUACCGUGAGGAGUGCUGGAGCGCAUAGAAGUGAGAAUGCCGGUAUGAGUAGCGAAAGACAGGUGAGAAUCCUGUCCACCGUAAGACUAAGGUUUCCAGGGGAAGGCUCGUCCGCCCUGGGUUAGUCGGGACCUAAGGAGAGACCGAAAGGUGUAUCCGAUGGACAACAGGUUGAUAUUCCUGUACUAGAGUAUAUAGUGAUGGAGGGACGCAGUAGGCUAACUAAACCAGACGAUUGGAAGUGUCUGGCCAAGCAGUGAGGUGUGAUAUGAGUCAAAUGCUUAUAUCUCUAACAUUGAGCUGUGAUGGGGAGCGAAGUUUAGUAGCGAAGUUAGUGAUGUCACACUGCCGAGAAAAGCUUCUAGCGUUAAUUAUACUCUACCCGUACCGCAAACCGACACAGGUAGUCGAGGCGAGUAGCCUCAGGUGAGCGAGAGAACUCUCGUUAAGGAACUCGGCAAAAUGGCCCCGUAACUUCGGGAGAAGGGGCGCUGACUGAUGGUCAGCCGCAGUGAAUAGGCCCAAGCAACUGUUUAUCAAAAACACAGCUCUCUGCUAAAUUGUAAGAUGAUGUAUAGGGGGUGACGCCUGCCCGGUGCUGGAAGGUUAAGAGGAGUGCUUAGCGUAAGCGAAGGUAUGAAUUGAAGCCCCAGUAAACGGCGGCCGUAACUAUAACGGUCCUAAGGUAGCGAAAUUCCUUGUCGGGUAAGUUCCGACCCGCACGAAAGGCGUAAUGAUUUGGGCACUGUCUCAACGAGAGACUCGGUGAAAUUUUAGUACCUGUGAAGAUGCAGGUUACCCGCGACAGGACGGAAAGACCCCAUGGAGCUUUACUGCAGUUUGAUAUUGAGUAUCUGUACCACAUGUACAGGAUAGGUAGGAGCCUAUGACCUCGGGACGCCAGUUUCGAGUGAGGCGUUGUUGGGAUACUACCCUUGUGUUAUGGCUACUCUAACCCAGAUAGGUUAUCCCUAUCGGAGACAGUGUCUGACGGGCAGUUUGACUGGGGCGGUCGCCUCCUAAAAGGUAACGGAGGCGCCCAAAGGUUCCCUCAGAAUGGUUGGAAAUCAUUCGCAGAGUGUAAAGGUAUAAGGGAGCUUGACUGCGAGAGCUACAACUCGAGCAGGGACGAAAGUCGGGCUUAGUGAUCCGGUGGUUCCGUAUGGAAGGGCCAUCGCUCAACGGAUAAAAGCUACCCUGGGGAUAACAGGCUUAUCUCCCCCAAGAGUUCACAUCGACGGGGAGGUUUGGCACCUCGAUGUCGGCUCGUCGCAUCCUGGGGCUGUAGUCGGUCCCAAGGGUUGGGCUGUUCGCCCAUUAAAGCGGCACGCGAGCUGGGUUCAGAACGUCGUGAGACAGUUCGGUCCCUAUCCGUCGCGGGCGUAGGAAAUUUGAGAGGAUCUGCUCCUAGUACGAGAGGACCAGAGUGGACUUACCGCUGGUGUACCAGUUGUUCUGCCAAGAGCAUCGCUGGGUAGCUAUGUAGGGAAGGGAUAAACGCUGAAAGCAUCUAAGUGUGAAGCCCACCUCAAGAUGAGAUUUCCCAUGAUUUUAUAUCAGUAAGAGCCCUGAGAGAUGAUCAGGUUGAUAGGUUAGAAGUGGAAGUGUGGUGACACAUGUAGCGGACUAAUACUAAUAGCUCGAGGACUUAUCCAA